rnacentral:rRNA from 1 species
UACGUAGGGUGCAAGCGUUAAUCGGAAUUACUGGGCGUAAAGCGUGCGCAGGCGGUUAUGCAAGACAGAGGUGAAAUCCCCGGGCUCAACCUGGGAACUGCCUUUGUGACUGCAUAGCUAGAGUACGGUAGAGGGGGAUGGAAUUCCGCGUGUAGCAGUGAAAUGCGUAGAUAUGCGGAGGAACACCGAUGGCGAAGGCAAUCCCCUGGACCUGUACAGACGCUCAUGCACGAAAGCGUGGGGAGCAAACAGG